AAAAUUUUGAACUUUUCUUUCCAUUCAAUCACCAAACUCAACCUGUGCAUGCACUAUUCAUAAACAUAAAUAUUAACCCCACCUUGGAGUCCUCAUCAAUGCUCCAAUGGGGUGACAUAACAUAAAUUAAGUUUGGUUUACAAUAAUCAUCAUUAGACAUUAAGAUCAUGUAUUAGAAAGGGAUUAACAUAAUACUGUGGUCAAGCACAACUCUAAACUUUCAUAAGCAUCAUUACAUAACAUUUCUAUAUCAUACUUUUACAUUACAUCAUAUCCAUGUCCACAUCUAGCUAUUACAUAACACAUGACUCUACUCCUGCUGACCUCCUGGUCUACCCUGUACCUACAAACCUGGGGGUUAAGGGAGAGGGGUGAGCUAUAAAGCCCAGUGAGCAGAAUAAUUAAACAUUCAAUUUAAAUUUCAUGCUUUCAUGAAAUGCAACAUAUCACAAACAAUUCACAUCAAGGAUGAACUUGUCACCAAUAGCCCACUACUCAUUCCAAUAGUGCCAGGGGCGUAGACUGGGCCUCACUGGUCUUUCUCUUACAUUACAUUCAUAACAUAACAUUCCAAUAUGCCAGGGGCGUAGAAUGGGCCUCACUGGUCUUUCUCUUACAUAGUGCCAGGGGCGUAGAAUGGGCCUCACUGGUCUUCCAUACCGUAUCACAUCAUAUCAUAACAUAGUGCGGCUAAAGGAUCAUCCAACAUUCAUCCACAUCAACAAC
rnacentral:lncRNA from 1 species